UGCAGUCGAGCGGAUGAAGGGAGCUUGCUCCUGGAUUCAGCGGCGGACGGGUGAGUAAUGCCUAGGAAUCUGCCUGGUAGUGGGGGAUAACGUCCGGAAACGGGCGCUAAUACCGCAUACGUCCUGAGGGAGAAAGUGGGGGAUCUUCGGACCUCACGCUAUCAGAUGAGCCUAGGUCGGAUUAGCUAGUUGGUGGGGUAAAGGCCUACCAAGGCGACGAUCCGUAACUGGUCUGAGAGGAUGAUCAGUCACACUGGAACUGAGACACGGUCCAGACUCCUACGGGAGGCAGCAGUGGGGAAUAUUGGACAAUGGGCGAAAGCCUGAUCCAGCCAUGCCGCGUGUGUGAAGAAGGUCUUCGGAUUGUAAAGCACUUUAAGUUGGGAGGAAGGGCAGUAAGUUAAUACCUUGCUGUUUUGACGUUACCAACAGAAUAAGCACCGGCUAACUUCGUGCCAGCAGCCGCGGUAAUACGAAGGGUGCAAGCGUUAAUCGGAAUUACUGGGCGUAAAGCGCGCGUAGGUGGUUCAGCAAGUUGGAUGUGAAAUCCCCGGGCUCAACCUGGGAACUGCAUCCAAAACUACUGAGCUAGAGUACGGUAGAGGGUGGUGGAAUUUCCUGUGUAGCGGUGA
rnacentral:rRNA from 1 species